rnacentral:pre_miRNA from 1 species
AUCAGCUGGUGACGUUGUUACAAUGAAGACUUUGAUUCAGUAGUUCUGAGUCUAGCCAGAGAUUCUGCAUUUCUAACAAGUUUCCAGGUGAUGC